GAUGAAGAACGUAGCGAAAUGCGAUAAGUAAUGUGAAUUGCAGAAUUCAGUGAAUCAUCGAAUCUUUGAACGCACAUUGCGCCCGUCAGUAUUCUGGCGGGCAUGCCUGUUCGAGCGUCAUUACGCCCCUCAAGUCCCCUGUGGACUUGGUGUUGGGGAUCGGCGAGGCUGGUUUUCCAGCACAGCCGUCCCUUAAAUUAAUUGGCGGUCUCGCCGUGGCCCUCCUCUGCGCAGUAGUAAAACACUCGCAACAGGAGCCCGGCGCGGUCCACUGCCGUAAAACCCCCCAACUUUUUAUAGUUGACCUCGAAUUAGGUAGGACUACCCGCUGAACUUAAGCAUAUCAAUAAGCGGAGGA
rnacentral:misc_RNA from 1 species